UUUUUUUUUUAAACCCUGAGCCGAUUUGCCUGCCGGCCGGACGCUUAAUUGUGCGCUAUUGUCUUGCACCGGAUGCAUGUCUGCCUCUGUUUGAGGCUAUCCUGUCGCCGGCCCAUGGGAAAACCUCCCCUUUUAUAUAAAUGCCCCGUAUUUUUUUUUAAAAGGGAAAAAAAGUUGCAUUUUGAAAACACACUUUUAAAACAGGCCCAGAACUCCAUUUACCCCCUAUCCUCCCGCAAGGCAUUGCAUCAGAUCCCAGGAGAAAGACGAAAUGCAGCCCCAUUCAGUUACCGUGGCUCAGUGCUGCCAUUACGGUCCGCGGCCUUCAGUCACGCGGCAAAACGGAGGAAAUCCGACGCGAUCUCCGCAAGUUACGGUACGCCGUGCCUUAGUAAGUCACCAUAAUUAGAGUUUGUAAGGUAAAAUAUGCAUUCAUUACCAUAACAGCUGGGGAAAAUCGGACACACUGAAAUGAACCCCCAUCACAGUUUUGCCCGUGAUAUUCCCGUGGACGGUGUGUAUAUAUGUACACUGGCGGGAUAUCCCUGGCAGGUAGCGGACCGGAGCCUUGACCUUUUCCCAGAGAGUCUUUCACCGAGCAGUGAACCUCUCCCCAUCUUCACUGCACAGAGAGGUGAACCUCCCCCCAUCUUCACUGCACGGAGAGGUGAACCUCUCCCCAUCUUCACUGCACGGAGAGGUGAACCUCUCCCCAUCAUCACUGCACGGAGAGGUGAACCUCUCCCAUCUUCACUGCACAGAGACUCUGCCUCUCUGGGAGGCUCUUUUUAUACCCAGUCAUCUUACUGACUUGUUGCCAAUUAAUCUAAUUGGAUGUGAGAUAUUCAACCAGGUGUUUUCUUUUAGCAUUACGCAGCUUCUCCAGUCUUUUGUUGCCCCUGU